rfam:Triticum aestivum genome assembly, contig: Triticum_aestivum_CS42_TGACv1_scaffold_654978_T_2BS-0.032291_6BS-0.022333
AUUCUACUCCCUCCGUUGCACAAUACAUGCCUUCUAUUUGUCAAAAUAUAUAUGUAUCUAGACAUGUUUUAGUAUAUAGGCACAUCCAAUUUUGGACAAAUGGAAGUCAAGUAUUUUGGAACGGAGGGAGUACACA